AUUGAACGCUGGCGGCAGGCCUAACACAUGCAAGUCGGACGGUAGCACAGAGAGCUUGCUCUCGGGUGACGAGUGGCGGACGGGUGAGUAAUGUCUGGGGAUCUGCCCGAUAGAGGGGGAUAACCACUGGAAACGGUGGCUAAUACCGCAUAACGUCGCAAGACCAAAGAGGGGGACCUUCGGGCCUCUCACUAUCGGAUGAACCCAGAUGGGAUUAGCUAGUAGGCGGGGUAACGGCCCACCUAGGCGACGAUCCCUACGUGGUCCGAGAGGAUGACCGGGCACACUGGAACUGAGACACGGUCCAGAAUCCUACGCGAGGGAGCAGAGGGGCAUAUUGCACAAUGGGCGCAAGCCUGAUGCAGCCAUGCCGCGUGUAUGAAGAAGGCCUUCGGGUUGUAAAGUACUUUCAGCGGGGAGGAAGGCGAUGUGGUUAAUAACCGCAGUGAUUGACGUUACCCGCAGAAGAAGCACCGGCUAACUCCGUGCCAGCAGCCGCAGUAA
rnacentral:rRNA from 1 species